GCCUGACGCGCGGGUGGGCGGAGCCGGGCAACCCACGUGAUUUUCCCCGGCGUCCCAGCGCCGCGACCCCAAGUCGGUGUGGCAGCUCGGGGCGGCUGUGUGCCCGCGGAGGACGGUAGGAGAGGUGCCAAGGGUGCCUUCUGAAGAGCGACCAUGUCUGAGAAUUGUACAGCUUUCACAGGACACAGCAGCAAUAGCAGUAAACCCAAAACUCCAACCCUUCGAACGACAGGGAAGCCAUGCUCAUGGGCCUCCUACAUGACCAAUUCUCCAACUCUAAUUGUUAUGAUUGGUUUGCCAGCCCGGGGUAAAACCUAUGUAUCCAAGAAACUAACACGCUACCUCAAUUGGAUUGGGGUACCCACGAAAGUGUUUAACCUUGGGGUAUAUCGGCGUGAAGCAGUUAGAUCCUAUCAGUCCUAUGACUUCUUUCGGCAUGACAAUGAAGAGGCCAUGAAGAUCCGCAAACAGUGUGCUCUGGUGGCACUGGAAGAUGUGAAGGCCUAUCUCACUGAAGACAGUGGACAGAUUGCUGUGUUUGAUGCCACCAAUACCACCAGAGAAAGGAGGGACAUGAUUUUGAACUUUGCUGAGGAGAAUGCCUUCAAGGUAUUCUUUGUGGAAUCUGUCUGUGAUGAUCCUGAUGUCAUUGCUUCCAAUAUCUUGGAGGUAAAGGUAUCAAGUCCUGACUACCCUGAAAGGAACAGGGAAAAUGUGAUGGAGGACUUCCUGAAGAGAAUUGAGUGCUAUAAAGUCACCUACCAACCCCUCGACCCAGACAACUAUGACAAGGACCUUUCUUUCAUCAAAGUGAUAAAUGUGGGCCAGCGAUUUCUAGUCAACAGAGUCCAAGAUUACAUCCAGAGCAAGAUAGUCUACUACCUGAUGAACAUCCAUGUCCAGCCUCGCACCAUUUACCUUUGCCGGCAUGGAGAGAGCGAGUUUAACCUCUUGGGAAAAAUUGGGGGUGACUCUGGGCUCUCAGUGAGAGGAAAACAGUUUGCCCAAGCUCUAAGGAAGUUUCUGGAGGAGCAGGAGAUACAAGACCUGAAAGUGUGGACAAGCCAACUUAAGAGGACCAUACAGACUGCAGAGUCCCUUGGGGUGACCUAUGAGCAGUGGAAAAUCCUGAAUGAGAUUGAUGCUGGAGUAUGUGAAGAGAUGACCUAUGCGGAGAUUGAGAAGCAGUACCCAGAUGAAUUUGCACUUCGAGAUCAGGAGAAGUAUCUAUAUCGAUAUCCUGGUGGGGAGUCGUACAUGGACCUGGUACAGCGGCUGGAGCCUGUCAUCAUGGAGCUGGAACGUCAGGGCAAUGUCCUUGUCAUCUCCCACCAGGCUGUCAUGCGCUGCCUCCUGGCCUACUUCUUGGAUAAGGGUGCAGAUGAGCUACCAUAUUUGAGGUGUCCUCUCCAUACCAUCUUCAAACUCACUCCUGUGGCCUAUGGGUGCAAAGUGGAAACAAUUAAAGUCAACGUGGAGGCUGUGAACACGCACCGUGACAAGCCAACUAACAACUUCCCCAAGAGCCAAACCCCUGUAAGGAUGAGAAGGAACAGCUUUACGCCUCUAUCCAGUUCGAACACAAUAAGGCGUCCAAGAAAUUACAGUGUUGGGAGCCGGCCCCUCAAGCCCCUCAGCCCUCUACGUGCCCUGGACAUGCAAGAUGGGGCCGACCAGCCGAAGACCCAAGUCAGCAUUCCGGUGGUGUAACUGUCCUGCAAGGGUCAGCCCAGGCUACAGAACCACAGAAUGCUCUGGAGUUUGCAAAUGGACAUAGGAGGAGGAACUGAGGUGGUCCAGUUACCUUCAGACAGGGCAAGAGAAGCUGGCAGCAAGAGUUUCGACAUCCUUCAAUUUUUAAAGCAAGAUUUCUUCUGAGAGCUUCAGCAGGAAGAAGCCAAGAAAAUGUAGACUGGAACUGAGCUCUUAUUCUAGAUUUCAGGGAAGUCUUGCUUCCCAUCUCUUCUGCCUUUCUUUCCCCUUGUUACUUGAAUGUGUACGAGUGGGAGAUUUACACUGUGCCGCUUGUGUUGUGUAUCACAGGUCCUCAAAAGAAGGAUGGCCCCCCAGAGUACUUUCUGAGGUGUCCAGCUUUGUUAUGAGGGAAAUAGGUAGAGACUUAGAUCUACCCAUGUAAAACAGAAAAGGAAGGAAACGUUAAUAUAUUUUGUUUUAUUACUUGUCUGUCUUCAAAGCUGAAUGAGACAUGAGAUCUUGUCUCACAAUACAGCUCAGUGGUAGAGUGCUCUCCCUGAAUGCAUGUGUUCAAUCUUCAGUACUGGGGGAAAAGAAACAAAAACUGCUGAGUGAAAAAGUCAGUAUCAGAUUUUCAAGAGGUAUCUAAUACAGUCAGGCAACCUGUGUCUGUUUUUAUCCCCACAUUUUCACAUUGGAACUCAGCUCUUAACUGAUGGUUAAUGCUAGUGCCCUUUCUCUUGGUGAAGGAAUAGUUUCCCACUGAGUCAUAAGGUAGAGUAAGAAAAAUCUAUAAAACAUGCAUUGUGUUGUACCCCAUGUCACCGUCUCUUUUCCUCAGGACAUUAGCAUCAGGGAUGCACUGUCUUGUGUUCUAGAUGGAAGAGUUGAGUAUUUCAGGUGAGGAUCUGGGUAAUCCUCUUUGUAAUCCACAUUGGAUUUUCAGAGGCACUGGCAUUUGAGGAAGCAAAUGAUAUAACUGUUAAGAAUCAAUCUGCCAUAUUUUCCUGGGAGCAAGAGAAAACUCUGGUGCUUGGAGUGGCCAAUGGACAAGGAAGACCAUGUCCAGUAGUUGAGGCAACUAUAUCUGAGUGAUGUAGUCUCUAUACAUCUCAUUGCCCUUACCAGUUCCAGAAGCCAUAUUGUAUUACAAAAGGUUUGUUAGACUUACCCAGCUUUCCAGGAAUAUAUUUUGACUUGUUUGUAUUUUAAAUUAUUUUUAUUUUAAAAAUGUUUAACAAUUCAGUCAGGUUGUAACAUUGGCCUUUUAGAUCAUUGAUUUUCCCUGGAGAUUACACACAUCAGAAGUGUGUCUUAAGAAUUUUGUUUCAUAGUGUCCUGAUAGACUCUGACAAGAUCUAUAUGCCAGCAGUCUGCCCAUUUUCUUGCACUGAAUGGUAGUAUGUGCUCAUUACUAUAAUUCUCUGCCUAUUACCCAUGCCCUACAAGAAACUAAACAUUUCAUAUAUUUCCUUUAUGGGGAAGUUCUAUACACUGAUUUUUUCCAUAGAUCCUUAUUGUAUAAUAGUGGCCAAAUUUUCAUCGUUUUACAAAAGAUAGUGAUUGUACAUUACUUGUUUGGUAUGGUGUAAGCAGCUAAGGUUAAUGCCUUAAGAACUUUCCGUUGUGACUCUACUUGAAGUUGUGUCCUCCAGCCCCUGCUUCAUGCAGGGCGUCAUUGUUAACCAUGCACUCCCGAACCUUCUGUGUCCUCCACAUAGCAUGAGUGAUGGAAUGCAGCAUUCUACCUGAGAGUGCUGCUGCUCUGGUCUGCCAUGCAUUUGGCUUUUACUCCUAACUUAUUAAUUAAAAAUGCAAAGAAAAUUUUGCAUUCAAAAGUUGAUUUAAAGACUAAACCUUUUCCUGGAUAUCUAUGGCCAAUAUUUACCUAACUCACUCUUUUUGUAUCUCAAUUGCUUGUAUGCUUUUAUGUUGAAAUAACAAGUCUAACUCAUUCUGAUACGGUGAUGGUUUUCCUGUGGUUACAAAAAAAAAAAUUGAUCACAAAUGGUGCCUUGAAAGGGUAGAGCAACAUUGAGGAGUACUGGUUUGGUUGGAAAUGGGCUGAAUUAUGAAGCCUAGAAGCAGAAUUUUAUGACAGAUUUCCUAGGCACACCUCUGUAGAAAGUGGGAAUGUCAGUCUUUAGUAGCAUUCUCAUUUAUUCUCAUGACACUAAUGAAAUAGUCUAUCAGAUCUACUUUAGAUAUAUAUAACUGUAUUUGAAAUGUGGGGUUUUGUAUGUGUGUGUGUGUCUCUGUGUGUAGAAUGGGUUAAUAAAAUUGUUGAGCAACUUGAACAUA